rnacentral:siRNA from 1 species
AGCUGAGACUGUCUCAACUCAGGG